GGAAGGCAGCAGGCGCGCAAAUUACCCACUCCCAGAACGGGGAGGUAGUGACGAAAAAUAACAAUACGGGACUCUUUUGAGACCCCGUAAUUGGAAUGAGCACAGAUUAAAACCUUGUACGAGGAACAAUUGGAGGGCAAGUCUGGUGCCAGCUGCCGCGGUAAUUCCAGCUCCAAUAGCGUAUAUUAAAGUUGUUGUGGUUAAAAAGCUCGUAGUUGGAUCUGCGUUGCAUCCAACGGUCCGCCUAACGGCGGCUUACUGUUUUGUGGUGCGAACAGAUAUAGUCGGUUUCUCUUGAUGAUCUUCACCGGUUGUCUUGGGUUUACCGACAUGUUUACUUUGAAAAAAUUAGAGUGCUCAAUGCAGGCGUGACGCCUGAAUAAUGGUGCAUGGAAUAAUGGAAUAGGACCUCGGUUCUAUUUUUGUUGGUGUUCAGGACACGAGGUAAUGAUUAAGAGGGACAGACGGGGGCAUUCGUAUUGCGACGCUAGAGGUGAAAUUCUUGGACCGUCGCAAGACGAACUACUGCGAAAGCAUUUGCCAAGAAUGUUUCCGUUAAUCAAGAACGAAAGUUAGAGGCUCGAAGGCGAUCAGAUACCGCCCUAGUUCUAACCAUAAACGAUGCUAGCUAGCGAUCCGGCUGUGUUCCUCAAAUGACACGCUGGGCAGCUUCCGGGAAACCAAAGCUUUUGAGUUCC
rnacentral:rRNA from 1 species